AACGAACGCUGGCGGCAGGCUUAACACAUGCAAGUCGAACGCUCGUAGCAAUACGGGAGUGGCGGACGGGUGAGUAACGCGUGGGAACGUGCCCUGAGGUACGGAAUAACUGCGGGAAACUGCAGCUAAUACCGUAUGAGCCCCGUGAGGGGGAAAGAUUUAUCGCCUUAGGAGCGGCCCGCGUCGGAUUAGCUAGUUGGUGGGGUAACGGCUUACCAAGGCUUCGAUCCGUAGCUGGUCUGAGAGGACGAUCAGCCACACUGGGACUGAGACACGGCCCAGACUCCUACGGGAGGCAGCAGUGGGGAAUCUUGCGCAAUGGGGGCAACCCUGACGCAGCCAUGCCGCGUGAAUGAUGAAGGCCUUAGGGUUGUAAAGUUCUUUUGCCCGUGACGAUGAUGACGGUAACGGGAGAAUAAGCUCCGGCUAACUUCGUGCCAGCAGCCGCGGUAAAGUGUGACUG
rnacentral:rRNA from 1 species